rnacentral:lncRNA from 1 species
CUUGUGUAAGAAACGCCAUCGCUGUAAAUUCCAGCUGCGGUCCCAAAGCGUUUGGGGGGCUCGGGAUCUACACGUCGGCGCGCAAUUCCCUCCUCUUGGGGUUGCGCAUCCAGUAGGCGCAGGACACCCUGAGA